CUGCUCGCACUUUCCAUAUGGAGCUGGGAGCGUUUGCCGGUUGGACAACCGAAGACCGUGAAGUACGAGGAUUGGGACGACAAAGACGACCCACUACGGCUCCCCACUUGGGCUCACAAGUGGGAUGUGUUAAAUGAGACGACGGAUGAUCCCUCGGUCAUGUACAACUUGUACAAGAGCGAGCUGGACGCGAUCACGCCUGAGGAGGUGAACCGACAUUGCAUAAGUGAUUAUCAUGCUUGUAUCGUAACUCGAUAUCAAUUUUGCAUUCUAUCCCAUUUUGCAGGUGGAAUGGGAGCCGUAUGGAAAAGGAGAGAGUUUUGGUAA
rnacentral:rRNA from 1 species